rnacentral:rRNA from 1 species
UACGGGGGGAGCAAGCGUUGUUCGGAUUCAUUGGGCGUAAAGGGUGUGUAGGUGGCGCGCUAAGUCGGGUGUGAAAUUUCGGAGCUUAACUCCGAAACUGCAUUCGAUACUGGCGUGCUUGAGGACUGGAGAGGAGACUGGAAUUCAUGGUGUAGCAGUGAAAUGCGUAGAGAUCAUGAGGAAGACCAGUGGCGAAGGCGGGUCUCUGGACAGUUCCUGACACUGAGACACGAAGGCCAGGGGAGCAAACGGG